rnacentral:rRNA from 1 species
GCUCAGGAUGAACGCUGGCGGCGUGCUUAACACAUGCAAGUCGAACGGGAUCCCAGGAGCUUGCUCCUGGGUGAGAGUGGCGAACGGGUGAGUAAUGCGUGACCGACCUGCCCCAUACACCGGAAUAGCUCCUGGAAACGGGUGGUAAUGCCGGAUGCUCCAGUUGACCGCAUGGUCCUCUGGGAAAGCUUUUGCGGUAUGGGAUGGGGUCGCGUCCUAUCAGGUAGUCGGCGGGGUAACGGCCCACCGAGCCUACGACGGGUAGCCGGCCUGAGAGGGCGACCGGCCACAUUGGGACUGAGAUACGGCCCAGACUCCUACGGGAGGCAGCAGUGGGGAAUAUUGCACAAUGGGCGCAAGCCUGAUGCAGCGACGCCGCGUGCGGGAUGACGGCCUUCGGGUUGUAAACCGCUUUUGACUGGGAGCAAGCCCUUCGGGGUGAGUGUACCUUUCGAAUAAGCACCGGCUAACUACGUGCCAGCAGCCGCGGUAAUACGUAGGGUGCAAGCGUUAUCCGGAAUUAUUGGGCGUAAAGGGCUCGUAGGCGGUUCGUCGCGUCCGGUGUGAAAGUCCAUCGCUUAACGGUGGAUCCGCGCCGGGUACGGGCGGGCUUGAGUGCGGUAGGGGAGACUGGAAUUCCCGGUGUAACGGUGGAAUGUGUAGAUAUCGGGAAGAACACCAAUGGCGAAGGCAGGUCUCUGGGCCGUUACUGACGCUGAGGAGCGAAAGCGUGGGGAGCGAACAGGAUUAGAUACCCUGGUAGUCCACGCCGUAAACGGUGGAUGCUGGAUGUGGGGACCAUUCCACGGUCUCCGUGUCGGAGCCAACGCGUUAAGCAUCCCGCCUGGGGAGUACGGCCGCAAGGCUAAAACUCAAAGAAAUUGACGGGGGCCCGCACAAGCGGCGGAGCAUGCGGAUUAAUUCGAUGCAACGCGAAGAACCUUACCAAGGCUUGACAUACACCGGAAACGGCCAGAGAUGGUCGCCCCCUUGUGGUCGGUGUACAGGUGGUGCAUGGUUGUCGUCAGCUCGUGUCGUGAGAUGUUGGGUUAAGUCCC